rnacentral:tRNA from 1 species
GCGAGCCGUUGACGGCCAGGAUCACGUCGCCAGGCUGCAGACCUGCCUUCGCGGCCGGGCCGUUCGGAUCGACCGAGCUCACG